rnacentral:rRNA from 1 species
CCUACGGGGGGCUGCAGUGGGGAAUUUUGGACAAUGGGCGAAAGCCUGAUCCAGCCAUGCCGCGUGAGUGAAGAAGGCCUUCGGGUUGUAAAGCUCUUUCGGCGGGGAAGAAAUCGCAUGGGUUAAUACCCUGUGUGGAUGACGGUACCCGAAUAAGAAGCACCGGCUAACUACGUGCCAGCAGCCGCGGUAAUACGUAGGGUGCGAGCGUUGAGCGGAAUUACUGGGCGUAAUGCUGGCGCUGGCGUGUGAAAUCCCCGGGCUCAACCUGGGAACUGCAUUUGAGACUGCAAGGCUAGAGUGUGGCAGAGGGGGGUGGAAUUCCACGUGUAGCAGUGAAAUGCGUAGAGAUGUGGAGGAACACCGAUGGCGAAGGCAACCCCCUGGGCCAAUACUGACGCUCAUGCACGAAAGCGUGGGGAGCAAACAGGAUUAGAUACCCUGGUAGUC